ACCUGGGCCCCUCCCAGGAGAGGUUACACUCAGGAAACCUCCAGGUGGCUGCCACUGUGGCGCUCCCCAGCCUUCAAGUACCUCCUUAACCACAGGUGCGGGGGAGCAGGAAUUUAAUCAAACAAGCCAAAUCCCAUGUCAUCACCUGACUCCAGACUGCUUUCUUAUACCCCAGGACCACCUACCUGCCCAGGAGUGGCUCUGCCCACAGUGAGCUGGACCCUCCCACAUCAAUCACCAACCAAGAAAACAGGCUUGCCCACAGGCCAAUCUAAUGGAGGCAUUUCCUCAAUUCAGAUUCCCUCUUCCCAGAUGAUGCAAACUUGGGUCAGGUUGACAAAAAAUGAGCCAUUGCAGUUAAGAAUGCCACUGAGGGUUUCUGCUGCCCUCAGCAGCUCAGCCUGGGAUAAGUCCCCUGCCCAGAGCAUUAACUAGGAAAGGGAAGGUAGAACUGCCUUAGAGGAGUUCCUGACGAAGGUGUGAUGAAGACAGAGUGACAAAGUGUCUGGAAAUGGUUGAGUGUCUGGAUCUGAGUAAAGGCUUUAAAAACGGGAGUCUCCAUAUUUCCUGUGGGAAUGAGUCUAGACUUCAAGGAUUUUCUAAGCCAGGCCUGGGAUUAACUCUUCAGACUCAUCUUGCUUGCUGCAGGUGGUGCCCUUGGCUGUGGAUCUCAGGGAGCAGAUGGUGUCAUCACAGCAAUAGUAACCCUGACUAAGACAGUGGUCCUGGCAGACUGAGACAGACACAGGAUAGAGCUUGACCUGCUAGGGAGUUGCAAGUCCCCAGCUGUCUGCGUGGGUACCCUUGGUCAGGGCAGAGUGGCAAGACCAUGGCAUUCAGUGUUGGAAGAUGAGAACUGGACCUAUCAUGCUGAAGAUUAUAUAUUUUCUUCAUAUUUUAUCAUGAAAAAAAAUUAAGCAAGAGAGAAACAGAUUUCUGAU